rnacentral:rRNA from 1 species
UACGUAGGAGGCGAGCGUUAUCCGGAUUUACUGGGCGUAAAGGGGGUGUAGGCGGCUCUUCAAGUCGGAUGUGAAAUCUCCUGGCUUAACUAGGAGGGGUCAUUCGAUACUGCUGAGCUAGAGUACAGUAGAGGAAGGUGGAAUUCCCGGUGUAGUGGUGAAAUGCGUAGAUAUCGGGAGGAACGCCAGUGGCGAAAGCGGCCUUCUGGGCUGAUACUGACGCUAAGACCCGAAAGCGUGGGGAG